rnacentral:rRNA from 1 species
AUUGAACGCUGGCGGAAUGCUUUACACAUGCAAGUCGAACGGCAGCACGGACUUCGGUCUGGUGGCGAGUGGCGAACGGGUGAGUAAUGUAUCGGAACGUGCCCAGUCGUGGGGGAUAACGUAGUGAAAAUUACGCUAAUACCGCAUACGAUCUAUGGAUGAAAGCGGGGGAUCGCAAGGCCUCGCGCGAUUGGAGCGGCCGAUAUCAGAUUAGGUAGUUGGUGGGGUAAAGGCCCACCAAGCCAACGAUCUGUAGCUGGUCUGAGAGGACGACCAGCCACACUGGAACUGAGACACGGUCCAGACUCCUACGGGAGGCAGCAGUGGGGAAUUUUGGACAAUGGGCGCAAGCCUGAUCCAGCCAUUCCGCGUGCAGGAUGAAGGCCCUCGGGUUGUAAACUGCUUUUGUACAGAACGAAAAGGUUUCUACUAAUACUGGGAGCUCAUGACGGUACUGUAAGAAUAAGCACCGGCUAACUACGUGCCAGCAGCCGCAGUAA